AAAAAAAAAAAAAAAAAAACCUAUACGUAUACUAGCAUAGUGGGGUUAUCCACUGAUAUGGUGAGAGUAAAAGGGGAAAUGAUGCGGCAGUGGGCAAAGUUCAAUAAUAAUUAUAUUAAACUUGAGAAACUGAGGUUAAACUCUCCUCUCCCUUUACCUACAUACGUAAUCAAAAAAUAAAAAGGAAAUAACGCUCAGUGUCAUCCAUGGUCCAUUUAGCCUCUUAAUAAUGAUAAUAAAGACAUGAUAUGGCAUUUUUAGACCUGAAAACACGCUAGGUAAUUGAAUAAAAGUGACUCCAAACGGAGCAAGUCAAUCAUCAAGCUAAGUUUUACAUGUUGAAUAUCUAAUAUUUGAUUUUCCACAUCACAGAUGAAUGUGAGCUAUCAACCGCAUAUGAAAGUUGAGAAGAUACAGUCCCAUUUAUUUUAUGGGCCAACAAUUUCGACUUCAACAUGCAUAGCAACUCUUUAUGCUGAGAUUGUUUUCUCUUCAAUACCUUGAUAAAAGCAUUCAACCCAAGCCAUUCAACUUCUUCCGCAGCCAGUUGAAGAACUGUAUGGAAAUGAGAACCAGUAUUUGCAGAAAGCAUCCUUUUCUUUAUGAGCAUGUACAUAUACCUAGAAUCAGUGAACAAAAAGACAGCAAAAAAGGUUAAAACUUGGGGGGGUGAGGGCGGUGCAAAAGCCAAACCAGUAUCUACAUUAAGAUGCUAUAAAAGAAAAUAUCUUAUGCAAAUGCCACCGGGGUCAUUUUUUAGCAACUAGUAGCAUAUCCUGGGCACGACCAUUGGUAGCAUAUAUCAUAAUAGGCAUAUGAUCAUUUGAUAAUCCUUGUUAAGGUUAGCAAUAUAGAAGCAUCUACAUACCUUAACGACCUUUCAAUGGUUUUUAAAUGGUAUCUCGGGUGUAGUUUGCAAAUGUACAACAUCUCAGAAACAUAACAAUGGAACUUCAUCGCACAUAACAAAAAUGACUGAUAGAUAUUUAAUCUAACAACAGGUUCUGAGUUAAUGUUUGAAUCAAAGAAUAUGGGAUGGCACUUGGGUCUCAUGAAGUCACACAAUUUCGCCUUCAGAUGGUGACCAGGUUUACCCUGCCAAGAGACAGUAAGUGUUGACCUCAAAUGGUUGUUCAGAUACCUUGUAUAAUCUGCCUGAACUUCUAAAGUACAAGAGUUCAAAAGCAAGCCACUCCAUCGAAUAAAUGAGAUACCAUCUUCACCAACAUAAACCCUGUUUGAUGGAAGCCCUGAUGCAUGUCUGGCAUCAAAAUUAAGACAAAAUUUCUCCUCAUUCAUAUAGCAGUUAUAAUCCCGAAAUCCUCUCCGUAAUCUGGUGUAAAAGCCAGCAGCCAGCCUCUUCGAUGUUGAUAUAAAGCAGAAGUCAUCAAUUAAUCUGAGUAGCAUAUAACAAUGGGAUGGGCUGAUUCUAUCCUCACUGCUAUUUCCUGCAACAGAAGCAUCCUGACAUUUGUGUCUUCUAGAUAAAUCUUCAGUUGCCAGUUCAUAAUUUUUUUCAAGAAAUGGAAAGAUCACAUUUCUUUCAAGGUGCCCAUAGUAUAAUGAGCACAGCAGAGAAGACAAAAUGCUUCCUUGGGGUAUACCAACGCCUUGCAAAUAAAACUUUUUAUCUAACUGCAGUACAUUACGCUUCACAUGCUCAUUUAGAUUGAAAAAGAGUUCCCUCUUCUUCAUAUACCUGCUGGACCCCUGAUUAACAAGCACAGUAUGCAGUGAACCAAAGCGAGCAGAAUAACUCUUUGCAAAACCAGUACUAAUAUCUGGAUCUGCUAAUAUAAGAUUCUCAUGAACCCACAAAGACUUCUUGGUGCAGACAACUUGAGAAGACUUCUGUAGAAGAUAUUCAUCUUCAUGUAUGACAUCUUUCAUUACAUUAAGCAACUUAUCUUGAUCAAUAGAAUCAAAUGCCUUUGAUACAUCAGAAACAACAAUGAAUACAUCAGGCAAGGUACCCAAUUCAUUCUUCAGGCCAAUAAUAAACAGGCAUAACUUUUUAUGGAUAUCAUUGUAGUCAAACACUGACGACCCUAACCUCUCUGGUUCUCUUAACUGUAUACCUUUUAGAACAGCAUGAGUAUCGCGAAGAACACAAUUCACAGACUUGAAAUGCUUAUAUUUAACUGACUUACUGCAAACUUGUGCUUUUCUUGGCAUUCCUAUGGAAGAGGAUUCUUGAACAAGCAUUCUUGAUGGUGCUUUCAGAUUUGCAAGCAUUCUAGCUCCAUUCUCUUUUGGGCAUAGUCUGAGCUUUGAGAACCCAAAUAACCUCUUGCUUAUGAUUCUUUUUACAUCACUGGCAUCUAAGCACUGGUAGUUCUGAUCUUUCAAGCAACCUAUGGUUCGAUUUUUCAACUUCUCCCAAAUUGACUUCCGAUAAUAAAAGAUGUCCUGUUUACCAUGCUCGCUUUCAGUGACAUAGAAGUUGGCUUGCACUAGUGGAACAACCAAACAUGAAAAGAACCACAAUAUCCAUCUCUCUAAAAGCAUAUGUUUCAAACUACUUGCAGCAUUAUUCAACUUACAGAAUUCCUCGUGCAUUUCUAAAUUUUGCCCUUGCACAUUAUUUGGCACCCCAGCAUCCAAGUAGCACAAAGAAUGUUUAUCUGAUAGAAACAGGAACCCUGAAGUCUUCAAUUUAUGCAUACAUUGUUUUAAUGAAAAUUUUUCAAAUCUUCUUAGCUGAAUGAACUUGGAAAUAUUUCUCCUCAAGAUUCUCCAGUUGGAAGGAGAUCCCAACAAAUCUGGAGGAACUAAAUUUCUACAAACAGCCCAUAUAAAUGAUACCACCUGACUUUUUGAACAAUAAGACUUUAUGGCCUCAGUCUGGGGAUCAUUGGUUUCUGGUGUUCUUUUGCAAUGUUCAGUAUUAAGACCACGGAAUUUCUCAGAUACUUCUCUCUUUGAAUCAUUAUCCUGAAAACAAACUUCCUUAUGCAUUUAACCUUUCUUAUAAUAAAACAAAGUACAUUAAAUAUGAAUUGGAUGCACCUUACACUUGCACAUAAAAAACAUUGGAAACUAACCUUAAAUACUGAGUUUGAAUUUAGAUUGGUAAUCUGCGUUAAUGAUAGAACGCAAUGCUUAUCCAAUAAUCUAAGAUGCUUGCAGCAAUGAGUUCGGCGUAUCAGAAUCUUAAGCAACUUAACAAGUGAAUGAUACCUAAGGAAUGAAAGCAUAAAGAGAUUAAUACAAUGUUAGUUGUUACUUGUUAGUUUAAUGGCCCACAUAUGAGUGUAGCCUAUCACAUGCAAAGAAUAGCUUCACUAAAAGGACUACCUAACUAGAAGCAUUAUCAUGUGUCUAGUUUUCUACAAAAACACUGAAGGAGGCAAGAGACUACACAUCAAUCACAAUAUGGCCCAUGAAUCAUCUUCCACUCCCAUUCUUUCAUCUCUCUGGAACUAAGCCCUUCAAGGAAUUUAAAUUGCAAGUCUUCUCCAUGCGGAGCUGUAUAAGCCCAGGCCAUUCACAUUCACCUCAACUGGAAAAUAUCAUGUUGACAUGUUCUUGAAUUCACAAAUUGUAGAUGCGACAUCUAAUAGUAGCAGUGGACCCUAAAUUUAACUAAAUGAGGUAAAUCCAUCCAAUCUGGUUUUUGAACAAGCCUAACAAAGUGAAGCAGUACAUAUUAGAUUUGAUUUAGUUGUCAACAAAAGCAUAAAGAGGUGAAUUUUAUUGGAAAAUCAACUAAAUGAAAACCAUAAAAGAAAGAAAAAUUAAGUUUAUUAAAAUCCUAUAUUAAUAAGUGUUAAAACUUAGCUUACAGGCAUGAAGAUCCAAUGAGACAGAAGUGACUGCUGAGGGAGCAUGGCACUGAUGGAGCAUUCACAUUUACAUCAGAUAGGCCAAAAAUACUCCCAACAAGAGACUUUGAACCAGCAAAAUUGGGCUUUAAGGAAUUUAACAAAUGUUUUUUGGGAAGAACAGAUGAAGAACAUUUCAAAUUGUAGAACAUGGGUUGCCUAUUAAUCAGUGCCCCUUUGGUGACUAGAUGGGCAGACUGCAACACAAGAAAACAAGAGCAUUGCUGGGACAUCUGCAGUUACAAAAAAUUAAUAAUGUCCAAUAACCGGGGGAAGAAUGAUAUCCUACCUAUAUUUUAGGAUAAACUCAAAAGUUACCAUUUCAAAGUUCAUAAGAAAAAGAAUACCUCUCUCAAAAAAAAAAAAAAGUACCUUUUCAUGGGAAUCAAUUUUACUGUUAUUAAGGUCAUAUUGAAGUCUCCCGAGUGUUCUAUCUUCAUUUAAGUGAAAGGUCUUAUCACUGGGUUCUUCGACAUCUAAAUGCCUGUGCUUUUUGCAGCGCUGCCACCGAAAUACUCUUGAACGCUUUUUGGGCUUCGCUAUAACCUGAUUUAAGCCUUGAUGUCUUUUAUUCAAGAGCCCUUCAUAUUUCAAAGUACAAGCUCCAGUUGUUGGUGUUGCUGCUUCUGCAACACCCAUCUGGACACAUCUAUUAGCGAUAUGCCCAUUGGAAGGUCUUAUACUAGUGCUUUCAUCAAUAUCUGAAUGCUUUUGCUUUUUGCAACGCUGCCACCUAAAAGGUCUUGAACGCUUUCUGGGAUUCACCAGUUCAUUUGGAUGUACUUUAUAGUUUGUAGAAUCAGCUCCAACUGUUGUUGCAGCUGCUUUAGAGACACUCAUCUGGCCAUAUUUGCUAGCAGGAUUCCUGCUGAAAGGCUUUAUAUAAUUACCACCGCUACAACCAACACAAUUUAUAGAACCCAGAAUACAGAGAGGAUUAUGCUGCUGUAUAUCAGAUGUUGAAAUAGCACUAUCAUCCCCAUCCCUCUUCUUCCCAUGUCCUGACAAAAAUAAAUUUUAUUUCAAUGAUCCUGUCCUAAUUUUCCAUCAAUCUUUAUGUAGUAAUAAAUUGCAAAUAGCUAAUAAAUAUAGGAAAAUCACAAAAAAAAGUAUGAAGAAGAAUAGAGCAAGAGUAGGAAACAAGGACAUUAUAAAACAUUCCCCCCAGUAUUCAGAAUCUCUUAUUUGUGACAAAAAUAUUAUUUUCAUUCCAACAAAAGGUUAGGAUUAUCUCUGGCAUUCAGAUUCUCUUAUUUGAACACAAGAAUGGUAUUUCAACAUCCCUAUCAGGUUACAUUAACCUUCCCUUCUUCUAAUAUAUAAGCAUAGCAUUAUAGUCACUUAUCAACAUAUCAGAGUAGUGAUUGAUCUAGCCAAUCUCAACGUGGAGACAAUUUUGGACCCACAGAUAGGAUGAUCUAGUAAUAAAACUUAUUCCACGCACAAGUCCAAUAACAUAAGGAAGCAUUUCUCAACUGCUUUUCCUGAAAUAAAAGAAUGAACCAUUUCAUCUAAGAACAUGACUUUCUCAAGCAAAAAGAAAUUAUGCAAUAACUACAUCCUUAAGAGACCUCCAAUCCAAAAAUAUGACAUUUUUCGACUUUUAGUUACCAAAAUGGAUGACCGAAGGAUCUUGACAUUGUGGCUCUGUUGUACGCUUCGUCAACUUAAGGACCAAAUUAUUCACAGGUGGACCAGCCACCUGAUGGUGUUUCUUACGAGGAAGUGGCAAAAAAAUUGACGUAUGCUUUAGAAGAUAAAACAUGAUGCCAUCCCCCACCUGCAUUUACGCAAUUUGUGCACUACCUGAUAUAAUUUGAUGAAGUAAUACCAAGGCACAAGACCAUUUGAAAUAAGUUGAACCCACAAUAUACCCUUUUUAAUAGAAGACUCCAUGCUGAAGAAGUCAGAAGCUCCACAAUGGGGCUUGAAUGAUUACACUUGUCAUAAGCACAGCAAAUUACAUUCGAAGACGUCGGUUGCUCUCUCAUUAUCAUUUCAAUAGUCCUUAUCACGAUCUCGUGUUGAGGCCAAUUGUUGCAAGGACGGAACUCCGUAGCAGCGAAAGGAGGCGCAUUGUCAGUAACGACGACGAAGCAGUGAUUGAGAAGCUUGCGAUAAUCGGGUGGAUCUCGGGAUUGGAGGAGAAAAGACAUGACAUUUUCGGAGGUGCCACAGCAAUUGAGGCAGAGCCGACCCUUGCAGUAGCAGGACGGCGGUGGAGGUGGCGAGUGAGGUGGAAUUAAGGAUGUGAUGGUGGUGGCUAGGGUCCGAGCCCGGUCCCUGAACAGCCUCCAUAGGACCAAUGGGACCCUUCGUUUCUUCCGCAUUCUCUACAGAGAGGGGAAAAAUGAUGGACUCUCUGAGGCGAGUGAGAGCGUGUG
rnacentral:misc_RNA from 1 species